UUUUCCACUAUCAACCCCAAAAAAACCAACUCUGCCUUACGUAAAGUUGCCAGAGUACGAUUAACCUCUGGAUUUGAAAUCACUGCUUAUCCUGGUAUUGGCCAUAAUUUACAAGAACAUUCUGUAGUAUUAGUAAGAGGAGGAAGGGUUAAGGAUUUACCCGGUGUAAGAUAUCGCAUUAUUCGAGGAACCCUAGAUGUUGUCGCAGUAAAGAAUCGUCAACAAGGGCGUUCUAGUGCGUUGUAG
rnacentral:rRNA from 1 species